UACAGAGGUCUCAACCGUUGUUCGGAUUCAUUGGGCGUAAAGGGUGCGUAGGCGGUCGGGUAAGUCGGAUGUGAAAUCUCAGGGCUCAACCCUGAAACUGCAUUCGAUACUGCUUGGCUAGGGUACUGGAGAGGAGACUGGAAUUUACGGUGUAGCAGUGAAAUGCGUAGAUAUCGUAAGGAAGACCAGUGGCGAAGGCGAGUCUCUGGACAGUUCCUGACGCUGAGGCACGAAGGCCAGGGGAGCAAACGGG
rnacentral:rRNA from 1 species